rnacentral:rRNA from 1 species
UAGUUGGUAAGGUAAAGGCUUACCAAGGCGACGAUCUUUAGCUGGUCUGAGAGGAUGACCAGCCACAUCGGGACUGAGACACGGCCCGGACUCCUACGGGAGGCAGCAGUCGGGAAUAUUGGACAAUGGGCGCAAGCCUGAUCCAGCAAUACCGCGUGUGUGAAGAAGGCCUGCGGGUUGUAAAGCACUUUCAGUUGGGAAGAUAAUGACGUUACCAACAGAAGAAGCACCGGCUAACUCCGUGCCGGCAGCCGCGGUAAUACGGAGGGUGCAAGCGUUAAUCGGAAUUACUGGGCGUAAAGCGCACGUAGGCGGUUUUCUAAGUCAGAUGUGAAAUCCCCGGGCUUAACCUGGGAACUGCACCUGAUACUGGAAGACUAGAAUGUGGGAGAGGAGAGUGGAAUUUCCGGUGUAGCGGUGAAAUGCAUAGAGAUCGGAAGGAACACCAGUGGCGAAGGCGGCUCUCUGGACCAACAUUGACGCUGAGGUGCGAAAGCGUGGGUAGCAAACAGGAUUAGAUACCCUGGUAGUCCACGCCGUAAACGAUGUCAACUAGCCGCUAGUCUCGCUUUAGAGAUUGGUGGUGCAGCUAACGCAUUAA